rnacentral:rRNA from 1 species
AUUGAACGCUGGCGGCAUGCCUAACACAUGCAAGUCGAGCGGAUCGGCUGACGCGUGAGUAAUGCCUAUGAAUCUGCCUGGCAGUUGGGGAUAACGCCCGGAAACGGGCGCUAAUCCCACAUCCUCUCCCAUGAGCCUAGGUCGGAUUGGCUAGUGGGUGGGGUAAAGGCCUACCAAGGCGACGAUCCGUAACUGGUCUGAGAGGAUGAUCAGUCACACUGGAACUGAGACACGGUCCAGACUCCUACGGGAGGCAGCAGUGGGGAAUAUUGGACAAUGGGCGAAAGCCUGAUGCAGCCAUGCCGCGUGUGUGAAGAAGGUCUUCGGGUUGUAAAGCACUUUAAGUUGGGAGGCGUUACCAACAGAAUAAGCACCGGCUAACUUCGUGCCAGCAGCCGCGGUAAUUC